UGGAGAUUGACACUUGACAGAAUAAUUUAAAAACAGUUGUUGAUUUUUGUAAUCAAUGUUUUGGAACGAAAUUUAUUAAUAGAAACUCUCAAAGAGUUCAAAGAUGUUAUAGAAAAUAAAAAAAACAGAUAGUGUAAGCGCAGCGAAGAAGAAGUCUGCUUAGGCGCAUAUUGCGGAAAAAUUCAAUGCCUCAUCUAUGAUUAAUGAGCCUGCGUCAGGAGAACAAUUAAGGCGUCUUUGGCAAAAUUUGAAGACCCGGCAAAGAGAUGCUUUCACUCUGCCUCCGCAGCCCCUUUGUGCUUGCGCACUGGGGACUGUCUCCACAGCUCGCCUCUGUGUUUGCGCAUAGGGGGCUGGGGUGCCGGUCCCAAGCCCGGAUAAAAGAGGAGGGCCCGCGUCCCUUUGGGGCA